rnacentral:sRNA from 1 species
GUGCGGGGCAGCGGGGCAGCGGGCGGCGGCCAUGGGAGAUAUCCCAGCCGUGGGCCUCAGCUCCUGGAAGCUGUGGUGCACCUGCCACAAGAAGUCCUUGGCGAAAACAGCAUGCAGAAGGAGUCUCAAGGCCUUGAAGCUGAACUAUUUGGACCUCUACCUCAUACACUGGCCCAUGGGUUUCAAGAGUCGUUGUUCUCUUAUAGGCCAUGGAGGACCUGGUGAUCAUCGGGCUGGUGAAGAACAUCGGGGUGUCAAACUUCAACCAUGAACAGCUUGAGAGGCUUUUGAAUAAGCCUGGGUUGAGGUUCAAG